rnacentral:tRNA from 1 species
CAGAAAAUAGUUUAAUUAAAAAUUUUAAUUUUGGAAAUUAAUGAUAAAUAUAUUUUUUUUUCUGA